AGUGAACGCUGGCGGUAGGCCUAACACAUGCAAGUCGAACGGCAGCACAGUAAGAGCUUGCUCUUACGGGUGGCGAGUGGCGGACGGGUGAGGAAUACAUCGGAAUCUACUUUUUCGUGGGGGAUAACGUAGGGAAACUUACGCUAAUACCGCAUACGACCUACGGGUGAAAGCAGGGGAUCUUCGGACCUUGCGCGAUUGAAUGAGCCGAUGUCGGAUUAGCUAGUUGGCGGGGUAAAGGCCCACCAAGGCGACGAUCCGUAGCUGGUCUGAGAGGAUGAUCGGCCACCCUGGAAGUGAGACACGGUCCAGACUCCUACGGGAGGCAGCAGUGGGGAAUAUUGGACAAUGGGCGCAAGCCUGAUCCAGCCAUACCGCGUGGGUGAAGAAGGCCUUCGGGUUGUAAAGCCCUUUUGUUGGGAAAGAAAAGCAGCAGGUUAAUACCCCGCUGUUCUGACGGUACCCAAAGAAUAAGCACCGGCUAACUUCGUG
rnacentral:rRNA from 1 species